UCGAGAAUCUUCGGCAAUGGGCGCAAGCCUGACCGAGCGACGCCGCGUGUGGGAUGAAGGCCUUCGGGUUGUAAACCACUGUCAGAGUGGAGGAAAUGCAUUGGGGUUCUCUCCAGUGUUUGACCUAGACUCAGAGGAAGGACGGGCUAAGUUCGUGCCAGCAGCCGCGGUAAGACGAACCGUCCGAACGUUAUUCGGAAUUACUGGGCUUAAAGGGUGCGUAGGCGGCGCGGAAAGUUGGGUGUGAAAUCCCUCGGCUCAACCGAGGAACUGCGCCCAAAACUACCGUGCUUGAGGGAGAUAGAGGUGAGCGGAACUUAGGGUGGAGCGGUGAAAUGCGUUGAUAUCCUAAGGAACACCGGUGGCGAAAGCGGCUCACUGGAUCUCUUCUGACGCUGAGGCACGAAAGCUAGGGUAGCGAACGGGAUUAGAUACCCGGGUAGUCC
rnacentral:rRNA from 1 species